CACGUAGGGUGCGAGCGUUGUCCGGAAUUAUUGGGCGUAAAGAGCUCGUAGGCGGCUUGUCGCGUCGAAUGUGAAAACUCGGGGCUCAACUCCGAGCUUGCAUUCGAUACGGGCAGGCUAGAGUUCGGUAGGGGAGACUGGAAUUCCUGGUGUAGCGGUGAAAUGCGCAGAUAUCAGGAGGAACACCGGUGGCGAAGGCGGGUCUCUGGGCCGAUACUGACGCUGAGGAGCGAAAGCGUGGGGAGCGAACAGG
rnacentral:rRNA from 1 species